GAUGAACGCUAGCUACAGGCUUAACACAUGCAAGUCGAGGGGAAACGAUGAGAGAGCUUGCUCUCUUAGUCGUCGACCGGCGCACGGGCGAGUAACGCGUAUCCAACCUGCCUCUGACCAAGGGAUAACCCGUCGAAAGUCGGACUAAUACCUUAUGCAGUCGUCGGAAGUCAUCUGAUGACGACGAAAGAUUUCAUCGGUGAGAGAUGGGGAUGCGUCUGAUUAGCUUGUUGGCGGGGUAACGGCCCACCAAGGCGACGAUCAGUAGGGGUUCUGAGAGGAAGGUCCCCCACAUUGGAACUGAGACACGGUCCAAACUCCUACGGGAGGCAGCAGUGAGGAAUAUUGGUCAAUGGGCGUAAGCCUGAACCAGCCAAGUAGCGUGCAGGAUGACGGCCCUAUGGGUUGUAAACUGCUUUUAUGCGGGGAUAAAGUGGGGGACGUGUCCUUCAUUGCAGGUACCGCAUGAAUAAGGACCGGCUAAUUCCGUG
rnacentral:rRNA from 1 species